GGGUGGACUCGGCGGUGGUCGGGGUCACGACGCUCGCCGCGUCGGUGCCGUCGUUCGUCGCGGCGAUCGCCCU
rnacentral:tRNA from 1 species